UGUACUCAGGUGAAUAAUAUGUUUGCGAUGUUACUCUUAUGCCCACCGUGCCUGGGCAUGUUUUUCAAGCUCGCCCGGUGUGGAUAUGCACUCAGAGUAACAUCGCAAACAUAUUAUUCACCUGAGUACA